CGCUCCCGUGCUUAGCUUUUGUGAUUUUGAAUUCAGCUAGCCUAAAAAGUUAUACGAAUAAUACUACUUAGUGAUAUAAAUAUGGCAGAUAAAUGUAAAAAAUGUAAUGAUGUUACACAAGUAAAAGACAGUGUCAAGUGUACCUCCUAUAACAGUGCCUUCCACCCGACCUGUUUGGAUAGAACUGAUUCCAACGAUCCAAUAAAAAAUCACCCCUUCGAAAAAACUGGAAAUGUGAACAAUGCAAUCAAAAUGAUCGUCAAGACAAAGCCUGUGACCAGUCACAAGACAUUCUUGAAGUUAUAAAUGCAUUCCGAAAAGAAAACAACGAGAAACUCGACGCUAUGGAGAGCAAUUUGAAUAAGAUGUCGUCCAAGUUAGCUCAUAAUUUGAGCUCAAAGAUUCGCACUGAAGAUGUCCUUUUACCAGUUGGAAAUAAUUCAGACUUCAAAUCCAUGCUUUUGCGUCCGCUUAUUCUUGAUGGACUAACAAAAGCUGGAUUCAUUCAACCAUCUCCAAUACAACUGAAAGCUAUUCCCCUUGCUCGAUGUGGUCUCGAUCUGAUUGUUCAGUCAAAAUCGGGGACAGGAAAAACAUGUGUAUUCACUGUUGCUGCUCUUGAAUUGCUGAAUAUCGAUAGUCUCCGGCUGCAGGCAUUAGUUGUGGCUCCAACUAGAGAAAUCGCUCUUCAAAUAGAAUAUGUUAUUAAAGAGAUAGGAUCUCAGUUUUCAGGUCUGAAAGUGGUACCAUUGAUUGGUGGCUUGCCCUUGCAAAAGGACAAAGAGCGUCUGAAAGAGGGAUGUCACAUUGUGGUUGGUACGCCUGGUCGGCUUCUGCAUUGCAUAGAAUUGGGACUGAUUGAGUUGAGUGCCGUGCGACUAUUUGUAUUGGAUGAGGCUGAUAUGCUAAUGAACCUCUCCUUCAAAGAUGAUAUCAAUGCGAUAUUUAAGAGUUUACCAGCCAGCAAACAAGUGGUGGUGUGCAGUGCAACGUUCACAUCAGAAUUGAAGUCAUUUCUUGGCAAGUACAUGAACAAUGCACCAACCUACGUGACACCCUCAGGCAAAUGUCCGGUCCUACUCGGUCUGCGCCAUUUUGUGCUGCUCUCUCCUGAUCAGUCGUCAAAUCAGCUGCGAAGAUUGAUCAACAAGGAAAACCAGCUGAUGUCCAUUCUCAAGUCGGUUCCUUUCAGCCAAUGCCUCGUGUUUUCAAAUUACCAAACCAGAGCGGAAAGCAUUUGCUGCAAGCUGCGCCGGAAAGGCUGGGAGAAGUGCUGCGAAUGGAUCGCGGGCAGCCAGGAUCAGGGCACACGUAUUGGCGUGUACGAGCGCGUGCGUGACAUGAAGGCACGCAUCCUGUUGACGACAGACCUGACGGCGCGCGGACUUGACUUUGAGGCGACCAAUCUGGUCGUCAACCUAGACCUGCCCGCCGAUUCGCACACCUAUCUGCAUCGCAUGGCCGCGCCGGCCGCUUUGGAUCUCAAGGAAUCGUUAUAACUUUAUUAGCGCUGGAUGAGAUGGCAAAGUUCAGAACUCUGAUUGGAAAAAUUGGUUCAUAUGCCAAUGCGUGCAUUAUACCAGACAAUGUACUCAAUAAGGAACUUUGGACUUUGAAUUUGGAUGUGUUGGAGGUACUUGAAGGACAUUCUGGGAGCGAGGAACCCGAACCUGAAGAGAUUCCUAAGCCUGAAAGUGAGGAUGUUGCCGAGAUCAAAACUGACAGCGAGUGUGUACACAUGAUCUACUCUUCAAAUGAGGAGGAAGAAGGAAGAACAUGAAAAAACCACUCAACUUCUGGAAUUUGGAUUGAAACUUUUGAGGUUUAAGAAAGCACCAGUGUUCUACUCUUUCAAAAAGCUAGAAGAAUCUCGCAGACAUUUUGUCCGUGAUGCUGCUGCUGCAAACGAUUCAGAAAAGUGCAAAUGGAAGAAAGUGUUGGAGCCUGCAGGUAGCUUGGAAAGUGAUGUUGCCGAGUACUUCAUCUCGUCUUAUGGUCGAAAAAUGGCUGAUGUCACAGAAAGGUGUCGGAAUAUGUACUUUGUCGACGUUAUUAAAAGUUUACCUUGCAAAUCUGAUAGCAGCUUCAAGUUUACAAAUGAUUCCAGCAUUCAAGACUUGAAUCUUGAAAAACUCGAAAUAAGUGUUGAACGUUCAAAUGAAAAUAGGUCUAGUCAUUAUGGAGAUGAUGUAAUGAGUGGAUUGGACUCUCCAAAAUCAGGAUCUUCAAGUCGUCAAUCCCGUUCACCAUCUUUACAUUCUGUACUAUUCUUCGAAGACACUACCGGUGAUACCUCUAAUCGGAUACCUGAUGAAGAUUCUAAGUCAACCCAAUAUUCAGACAAUGACCAAAACAAAAUUAAAAAGCCAAUUCACAUUUUUGUGCCCAAGAGAAAAUUGUGCGAAGUGGAUUCAUCGUCUACUUCAUUUGAACAAGUCAAAGACUUGAGAUCCAAUACACCUGUACAUCAUCAAGAAAAUAACGACUUUCGGUACAUGUGUGGAUCAAAUGUGCAGUCAACAUAUGAAGGGAAUCAAGACUACAGGUAUACCACAGAUGAAUGCAAUAGGCGGCAAUCCACUUCAACCGUACAUUAUCAAGUGAAUCAAUACCCUGAGUACAUGGAUGAAUCCUUUGCGCAGUCGUGUGACUUCACUCCUCAGCAACGUAAAAGGAUAAGACAGGCCUUGAAUCCAUGUUACAAUCCUGCUAUGAAUAGCUAUUAUCAUUAUAACAGUAAUCUUCAUCAAAGUUCACAUAAUUCUUCUAUGCCCUUAGAUCAGUGGAAUGCCCUCUAUCGUCAACAAUUAUCGCAGAAAAGGAUGUAUACUAGUUACUCGUAUUAUAUGCAUCGUAUGCUACAUUCACUAACCUAACAUUGGUGAAACAAUUAAAACGUUAUUGCGUUCUAUAAUUCAACUUUGAGAUUGAUCAAAUCGAUCAAUCCACCUGAUUUAUUAUCAAAUCGUUAUUUUAUAUGGUAUCUGUUGUAUGAUUUAUCUUGAAGAUUGAUUAAAUUAAUCCAUCCAAUUAAUCAUCAGAUUUUUAUCUUAUAUGGAGAUUUACAAUUCUUGAGUUUCAAUAUUCCAAUAAUGUAACCAUAGAAUCCUACACUACUUUUGUAUUCUCUUUUAUGUAAAUAUGAUUUGAUAAUUAUGUGUUUCUCCCAUUUUCUAAUAAUAAAUCUGCUGCAUAUUAUAUCAAUCGCUGUUCCUUGUGAAGAUUUUACAUAUUUCUUAUUCUAAUCUUCAGUUAGUAGCCUAUUUGAAAUUGAAUUAAUGCUUUAUUGAAGUUGAUUCACUCACUGUAUUUUUAGCAUCAUGUUAUGUUGAACACUAAUCAAUUGUAUAAAUAUAUCAGUAAAAAAGGGUA
rnacentral:misc_RNA from 1 species